CUUCACAAUGCUUUCAGACAUUGACGGAUAAACAGAUGAAUAGCCAAAACCUUAAUAACAUAACCAUUGCAGUUGCAUGCAAACGGAUUCCUACGAAAACAUGAAAUCUAAGGAGAAAUAUAAUUAUAUAAAAAGGUAAAAAGCCUAGGAGAAUAAUAUGAUAUUUGAUGGAAAUAUAGUGCAAACUCACUUCAUAAAUCAUCUAACUUGCAAAAUCUUUCAUAUCUAAAGGAAUCUUCAUCAUCUGACAAUAAACAACUUAAGUCGUUAGAUAUCUUCAAUUCGUAAUCAAUAAGAAAUCUGGAAUUUCUUUCCCUUCAUUGUAAAUGUAAAAGGAAUUUGCAUAUUUCUGGAUACUUCAGCUUGAGUCAUAUGUACGGACAAUGUAGCAAGGAUCAACCAUGUCAAUGCAAGUUCUCGACAGACACAGAAAUAAAAAUAGAGAAGUGGAUACAGUCAUGUGUGGUAGAUGUUUAGUUGUCUGAUAAAGUGAAGUGCUUCAAACAACAACGCGACUGUCUUUUUCGGUGCACACAUGGUUUUAAGAGGCGGCAUUUUAGAUUAGCAUAAAACAAAAUACAAGUAAUAUGGAAGGAAAUAAGGAUAAUGGUAAUCUACAUGAUGAAAUCCACUUAUUACAAUAAUAUAUCUAAAAGGGGACAACAUGCCAACGGGCCGAAAGUAAGAGCCAAACAAACAAUUAAAUACAGGGUUUAUCUUAUUUUAAUCCGUAUCAGUCAACAAUUAUACACAAGCCAAAGAGAUAGGUUACAAAAUCUUGCACAACUCUAGGGAAAAAAGGAAAAAGUAUGGCUUGAAGCUAAACAGACAAAUCCGUCGCAAGUUAUACACUUUAAUACCAAGAACAAAACCGACAUAUGCUGAUAGAAUAUUGAGUAAAUGUCCAGUUAAUUGCAAAACGUAUUAUAAGUACGACACAUAUAUUACAUUGAGGUCUAAAUUUGGGUAAGGAACAUUUCUAAUACUAGGAUAACAAAAGAAGCAAGUACAUCAAACAUUCAUGAAUGCAUGCAACUGCAGGCUUGUCCACAUUGCAAAAAUGCUAUAGCGAUGAAUUGGACCAACAUCCGACUAAUCAUGAAUUCCACGUUUGCUUCUGUUUCAUUACUAAUCAUAAAACUAAACUAGUAGGAUUAAAGAAAUUUACCACUCAAGCAUUGCACCAGCAAAUUAAGUAGUGUGUGGAUAUUCAUGGCACUGUCUU
rnacentral:lncRNA from 1 species